CGCCCCCCCGCAGCCAUGGCGAGCGGCCGCGCCGAGGACGCGGCGGCGGCGGCGGCCGAGGAGGAAGAGGAGGAGGAGGCCGCGGCGGCGGCGGCGGCGCGGCUGGCGGCGGCGCUGCGGCAGCGGCUGCGGGGCUGGGAGGCGGCGCUGGCGGCGGCGCAGCGGCUGCUGGUGUGGGAGAGGCCGCUGCACAGCCUGGUCACCGCCGCCGCGCUCGGCGGGGCCCUCUGGUUGUUUUCCUCCACCUCCCUGAGACCCCUCUUUCUCCUCAGCAUGUCCCUUCUUGGCAUCCUCUUGCUGGAGAGGUGGAAGCCCAGGUUCCUGUUUGAUUUCUCAGCACAGCCGUCGGAGGAGCCGGGAGGGGAGAGUGAGGGGGUGACUUCAGGGGCACAACCUCACCUGCUCAGUGUCCCUGAGCUGUGCCACUGUCUGGCAGAGAGCUGGGUCACCUUCAGGCUGUACCUGCAGGAACUGCUACAGUACAAGAGGCAAAAUCCUGCCAAGUUCUGCAUGAGUGUCUGCUCAGGCUGCCUGAUUCUGGCUGUAGUUGGACACUAUGUUCCAGGCAUAAUGAUCUCCUACAUCAUUUUGCUCAGCAUUCUGCUCUGGCCGCUGGUGGUAUACCACGAGCUGAUCCAGAGGAUGUACACGCGUUUGGAGCCUGUCCUCAUGAAACUGGACUACAGUAUGAAGGCAGAGACACUGCACCACAAGCAUGAGAAGAAGAAGCGACAAGGGAAGAGUGAGCCUGCAGCAGGUGAUGAGCCAACAGCUGAGACGGAGAGCGAGAGUGAGGCAGAGCUGUCCGGCUUCUCCCCAGUGGUGGAUGUGAAGAAGACUGCCCUGGCACUGUCCAUCACAGAUUCUGAGCUCUCGGAUGAGGAGGCUUCCAUCCUAGAAAGCGGAGGCUUUUCUGUCUCAAGGGCUACCACCCCACAGCUGACAGAUGUUUCUGAAGACCUGGAUCAGCAGAGCCUGCACAGUGAGCCGGAGGAGUCGUUUUCCAAAGACCUGUCAGAGUUUCCCUCCGUGGAAGAAUAUCAUUCCAGAGACCUGGGACCACAGAGCGAGGAAGACGCGUUCGGGGUGCCUCUGGGCCCGGAGCUCGCCCACGCUGCCCGCGAGCUGGACUCGGCAGAGAAGGAGGCCGCGGACUCGGGGCUCGCCAUCCUGCGCCUCGCCUCGCCUCUCCACUUUGUAAAUACGCACUUCAACGGGAGCGGGCAAGCGGCCGGGGGCGACACAGAGCCAGGGACUGACCCCGCCACGGGCCUGGGCGCCUGCAUCGACACGCUGAGCGAGGAGAUCGUCACCACCGCCAUCACCACGGCGGUGCAGAACACCCUCUGUGCCCUGCUGCGCUCCUCGGAGGCCAGCGAGGGGCCCUCCCUCUCCGAGUUCCUCCCCACCGAGCCCGAAGAGAAACUGAGCUUCCAAGCGCAGCUGUCAGAGAGCGAAUCGGUGGAGACGGAGGCGGCGGCCUCACCAGAGGACGAGGAGGAAGCGGAUGACUUUGAGCUGCUGGAUCAGGGGGAGCUGGAGCAAAUGGAUGUAGAGCUGGGGCUCGGAGAGGAGCAGGAGACACAGGAGCCUCCCGCCGCUCCUGCUCCCCGCUCUCCCCCGCUUGCUGAGCUGCCAAAGCAAGGAGACGAGGAGGAGGAGGCAGUGAUGACAGCAGCGUCAAUGUCUUAGGUCUCCUCCGUGCACCCCCUUUCCCUCCAUCGCCACUGGAAAGAAGGACAGACUCCCGCGGUGAACGUGCAGUGGGUUGUUAGAUGUUUGUGUUGACUGGGAUGGAAACGCGUCAGUGUCCAUGUGCUGUGUCCGGAGUAACGAAUCCUUUCCACCCUCCUAGAGCCCAGCCUGAGGCUGGGCUGGCUGCGGGAGGCGGCCCUGCCCCGCGGCGGGGGAGGAGCCGGCGCCCGGAAGCUUUAGCCACCAUCCCGACACCGACCCCGGCAAACGCUUCCUAGUAAUGGAGAGGCUGCGAGACCUGAGGCUGUUUUAGCCUGGAAAAGAGAAGACUGUGGAAGGACCUCGUUAACACUUACAAGUAACCUAAACUGUGGAUGUCAGGAAGAUGGGGUGGCACUAUUUUCUGUAGUGCUCAGCAACAGGACAUGGGCUAAUGGACGUAAGCUUGAACA